rnacentral:lncRNA from 1 species
GGAAAUCAGGGCCCCAUUGGGCAGCCUGGGAUGCCUGGACACAGUGUGAGAGUGGGCUACACAUUAGUAAAACACAGUCAGUCAGAACACGUGCCACCAUGCCCCAUUGGCAUGAGCCAGCUAUGGGUGGGUUACAGCUUGCUGUUCGUGGAAGGGCAGGAGAAAGCCCAUAACCAGGAUCUGGCCCUUUAGACCUACGGUUGCAAAAUAGGCCACAAGCAUUAGCCCUGGAGUCAAAAGGAUUGUGAUCCAAAUGCUGGUCCUACUGCUUCAAAGUCACAUGCCCUGGG